AACGUCCGUCGUGGAGAGGGAAACAACCCAGACCGCCAGCUAAGGUCCCAAAGUAUUGCUAAGUGGGAAACGAUGUGGGAAGGCUCAGACAGCUAGGAUGUUGGCUUAGAAGCAGCCAUCAUUUAAAGAAAGCGUAAUAGCUCACUAGUCGAGUCGGCCUGCGCGGAAGAUGUAACGGGGCUAAGCAAUACACCGAAGCUGCGGCAAUAUCUUUUAGAUAUUGGGUAGGGGAGCGUUCUGUAAGCCGUUGAAGGUGAAUCGUAAGGUUUGCUGGAGGUAUCAGAAGUGCGAAUGCUGACAUGAGUAACGACAAAGGGGGUGAAAAACCUCCUCGCCGGAAGACCAAGGGUUCCUGUCCAACGUUAAUCGGGGCAGGGUGAGUCGACCCCUAAGGUGAGGCCGAAAGGCGUAAUCGAUGGGAAACGGGUUAAUAUUCCCGUACUUCUGACUAUUGCGAUGGGGGGACGGAGAAGGCUAGGUGGGCCAGGCGACGGUUGUCCUGGUUCAAGUGCGUAGGCUUGAGAGUUAGGUAAAUCCGGCUCUCUUUAAGGCUGAGACACGACGUCGAGCUGCUACGGCAGUGAAGUCAUUGAUGCCAUGCUUCCAGGAAAAGCCUCUAAGCUUCAGAUAGUCAGGAAUCGUACCCCAAACCGACACAGGUGGUCGGGUAGAGAAUACCAAGGCGCUUGAGAGAACUCGGGUGAAGGAACUAGGCAAAAUGGUACCGUAACUUCGGGAGAAGGUACGCUCUUGAUGGUGAAGUCCCUCGCGGAUGGAGCUGACGAGAGUCGCAGAUACCAGGUGGCUGCAACUGUUUAUUAAAAACACAGCACUGUGCAAAAUCGCAAGAUGACGUAUACGGUGUGACGCCUGCCCGGUGCCGGAAGGUUAAUUGAUGGGGUUAGCGCAAGCGAAGCUCUUGAUCGAAGCCCCGGUAAACGGCGGCCGUAACUAUAACGGUCCUAAGGUAGCGAAAUUCCUUGUCGGGUAAGUUCCGACCUGCACGAAUGGCGUAAUGAUGGCCACGCUGUCUCCACCCGAGACUCAGUGAAAUUGAAAUCGCUGUGAAGAUGCAGUGUACCCGCGGCUAGACGGAAAGACCCCGUGAACCUUUACUACAGCUUGGCACUGAACAUUGAACCUACAUGUGUAGGAUAGGUGGGAGGCUAUGAAGACGUGACGCCAGUUGCGUUGGAGCCGUCCUUGAAAUACCACCCUUGUAUGUUUGAUGUUCUAACUUAGACCCAUUAUCUGGGUUGAGGACAGUGCCUGGUGGGUAGUUUGACUGGGGCGGUCUCCUCCCAAAGAGUAACGGAGGAGCACGAAGGUGGGCUAAUCACGGUUGGACAUCGUGAGGUUAGUGCAAUGGCAUAAGCCCGCUUAACUGCGAGAAUGACGGUUCGAGCAGGUGCGAAAGCAGGUCAUAGUGAUCCGGUGGUUCUGUAUGGAAGGGCCAUCGCUCAACGGAUAAAAGGUACUCCGGGGAUAACAGGCUGAUACCGCCCAAGAGUUCAUAUCGACGGCGGUGUUUGGCACCUCGAUGUCGGCUCAUCACAUCCUGGGGCUGAAGUCGGUCCCAAGGGUAUGGCUGUUCGCCAUUUAAAGUGGUACGCGAGCUGGGUUUAGAACGUCGUGAGACAGUUCGGUCCCUAUCUGCCGUGGGCGUUGGAAGAUUGAAGGGGGCUGCUCCUAGUACGAGAGGACCGGAGUGGACGAACCUCUGGUGUUCGGGUUGUGUCGCCAGACGCAUUGCCCGGUAGCUAAGUUCGGAAUUGAUAAGCGCUGAAAGCAUCUAAGCGCGAAGCGAGCCCUGAGAUGAGUCUUCCCUGAUACUUUAAGUAUCCUAAAGGGUUGUUCGAGACUAGAACGUUGAUAGGCAGGGUGUGUAAGCGUUGUGAGGCGUUGAGCUAACCUGUACUAAUUGCCCGUGAGGCUUAACCAUACAACACCCAAGGGGUUUUGUA
rnacentral:rRNA from 1 species